AUGAGUGUGUUAAUCAUGCAGUUCAUGAUGAAAUUGAGCGAACUGUUCAAAUGUGGCCGGUUCUUGGUGCAGGGGCUCAACAUUUUAACCUUGAAAAUUAAAUCCUUGGUCGAAGAUGUUGUUAUCACGCUCGUCCUUGACGAUCAUGUUGUGCAUGAUCACACAAGCAGUCAUCACCUCCUAAAGCUUCCCUUCAUCCCAUGUCAGUGCAGGGUUUCAGACGAUACCUCAUCGGGAUUGAAGCACACCAAAAGCACGUUCCACAUCCUUUCUAGCACUCUCUUGCAUUUGGACAAAUCUCUUUCUCUUCUCACCUUGGGGGUUUGA
rnacentral:rRNA from 1 species